AUGAAUCAACUCCUUUCUUUCUUGGUUUCUUUUUUCUUUUUCUUUUUCUUUUAUUUU
rnacentral:ribozyme from 14 species